GAUGAACGCUGGCGGCGUGCCUAAUACAUGCAAGUCGAGCGAACAGACGAGGAGCUUGCUCCUCUGACGUUAGCGGCGGACGGGUGAGUAACACGUGGAUAACCUACCUAUAAGACUGGGAUAACUUCGGGAAACCGGAGCUAAUACCGGAUAAUAUAUUGAACCGCAUGGUUCAAUAGUGAAAUACGGUUUUGCUGUCACUUAUAGAUGGAUCCGCGCCGCAUUAGCUAGUUGGUAAGGUAACGGCUUACCAAGGCAACGAUGCGUAGCCGACCUGAGAGGGUGAUUCGCCCCACUGGAACUGAGACACGGUCCAGACUCCUACGGGAGGCAGCAGUAGGGAAUCUUCCGCAAUGGGCGAAAGCCUGACGGAGCAACGCCGCGUGAGUGAUGAAGGUCUUCGGAUCGUAAAACUCUGUUAUUAGGGAAGAACAAAUGUGUAAGUAACUAUGCACGUCUUGACGGUACCUAAUAAGAAAGCCACGGCUAACUACGUG
rnacentral:rRNA from 1 species